UACGUAGGUGGCAAGCGUUAUCCGGAUUUAUUGGGCGUAAAGGGAACGCAGGCGGUCUUUUAAGUCUGAUGUGAAAGCCUUCGGCUUAACCGGAGUAGUGCAUUGGAAACUGGGAGACUUGAGUGCAGAAGAGGAGAGUGGAACUCCACGUGUAGCGGUGAAAUGCGUAGAUAUAUGGAAGAACACCAGUGGCGAAAGCGGCUCUCUGGUCUGUAACUGACGCUGAGGUUCGAAAGCGUGGGUAGCAAACGGG
rnacentral:rRNA from 1 species